AAAUUGACGGGGGCCCGCACAAGCGGUGGAGCAUGUGGUUUAAUUCGACGCAACGCGAAGAACCUUUACCAGGUCUUGACAUCCCUUGACAGUCUAAGAGAUUUAGGCAUUCUGACUUUGGUUAGACAAGGAGACAGGUGGUGCAUGGUUGUCGUCAGCUCGUGUCGUGAGAUGUUGGGUUAAGUCCCGCAACGAGCGCAACCCUUAUUCUUAGUUGCCAGCACUAACGGUGGGCACUCUAAGGAGACUGCCGGUGACAAACCGGAGGAAGGUGGGGAUGACGUCAAAUCAUCAUGCCCUUUAUGACCUGGGCUACACACGUGCUACAAUGGCCUAUACAAAGGGUAGCGAAGCUGUGAAGUGGAGCCAAUCCCAAAAAGUAGGUCUCAGUUCGGAUUGUAGGCUGCAACUCGCCUACAUGAAGUCGGAAUCGCUAGUAAUCGCGGAUCAGCAUGCCGCGGUGAAUACGUUCCCGGGCCUU
rnacentral:rRNA from 1 species